rnacentral:tRNA from 1 species
GGAGAGUUCGCUUAAAGGUAGGGCGAUUGACCGUAAUAGGCAAUAAGAUUGCAGUUCGAAUCUGCUGCUCUCCACCA